GGUCCCAGCUGGCUGAGAAGACAACACCACCUGAGUCUGGUGACAGGAGGCAUGGACAAACUCCUGGGGGCAUCAUUUUUAAUCCUAUGGCUUCAACAAGGCGCAGGGGUGAGUGGCCAACAGGGGAAGAAAAGUGACCAGCAGCAGGUGAAACAAAGUCCUCCUUCUCUGACAUCCCAGGAAGGAGCGGUUUCCAUCCUGAACUGUACAUAUGAGAACAGUGCAUUUGACUACUUCCCAUGGUACCGGCAAUACCCUGGAAAAGGCCCUGAACUCUUGAUAGCCAUUCGUUCUGUUGAGAGUAAGAAGGAAAUGGGAAGAUUCAUAGCUUUUUUCAACAAAAAUGACAAACAGUUCUCCUUGCAUAUAAAGGCUUCACAACCUGGAGACUCAGCCACCUACUUGUGUGCGGCAAGCACACAGUGUUCUUUAGGCACCUGCAGCCUGAACACAAACCUGCCACUCAGGCCUCAGCCAUCUCUGCUCUGGGGGCUUAUCCUGCCAGAGGCUUAG